UACGUAGGGGGCAAGCGUUGUCCGGAAUCAUUGGGCGUAAAGAGCGUGUAGGCGGCCAGAUAAGUCCGCUGUGAAAUCUCGAGGCUCAACUUCGAGCUGUCGGUGGAAACUGUCUGGCUAGAGUCCGGAAGAGGAGAAUGGAAUUCCUGGUGUAGCGGUGAAAUGCGCAGAUAUCAGGAGGAACACCAAUUGCGAAGGCAGCUCGCUGGAACGUAACUGACGCUGAGACGCGAAAGCGUGGGGAGCAAACAGG
rnacentral:rRNA from 1 species